GCCUCAAUAGCUCAGUUGGUAGAGCUUCAGACCUUUAAUCUGAGGAUCCAACAUUCAAGUCCCUGUUCAGACA
rnacentral:tRNA from 1 species